rnacentral:rRNA from 1 species
UACGUAGGGGGCAAGCGUUGUCCGGAUUUAUUGGGCGUAAAGAGCGUGUAGGCGGCUGGGUAGGUCCGUUGUGAAAACUCGAGGCUCAACCUCGAGACGCCGAUGGAAACCCUCCAGCUAGAGUCCGGAAGAGGAGAGUGGAAUUCCUGGUGUAGCGGUGAAAUGCGCAGAUAUCAGGAAGAACACCAAUGGCGAAGGCAGCUCUCUGGGACGGUACUGACGCUGAGACGCGAAAGCGUGGGGAGCGAACAGG